UACGUAGGGUGCGAGCGUUAAUCGGAAUUACUGGGCGUAAAGCGUGCGCAGGCGGUUUUGUAAGACAGAUGUGAGAUCCCCGGGCUUAACCUGGGAACUGCGUUUGUGACUGCAAGGCUGGAGUACGGCAGAGGGGGGUGGAAUUCCACGUGUAGCAGUGAAAUGCGUAGAGAUGUGGAGGAACACCGAUGGCGAAGGCAACCCCCUGGGCCUGUACUGACGCUCAUGCACGAAAGCGUGGGGAGCAAACAGG
rnacentral:rRNA from 1 species